rnacentral:misc_RNA from 1 species
GAUGAAGAACGUAGCGAAAUGCGAUACGUAAUGUGAAUUGUAGAAUUCAGUGAAUCAUCGAGUCUUUGAACGCACAUUGCGCCCCCUGGUAUUCCGGGGGGCAUGCCUGUCCGAGCGUCAUUGCUGCCCUCAAGCACGGCUUGUGUGUUGGGCCUCCGUCCUCCUCCCGGGGGACGGGCCCGAAAGGCAGCGGCGGCACCGCGUCCGGUCCUCGAGCGUAUGGGGCUUCGUCACCCGCUCUUGUAGGCCCGGCCGGCGCUUGCCGACACAUCAAUAUUUUUUCCAGGUUGACCUCGGAUCAGGUAGGGAUACCCGCUGAACUUAAGCAUAUCAAUAAGCGGAGGA